UACGUAGGUGGCAAGCGUUGUCCGGAUUUACUGGGUGUAAAGGGCGUGCAGCCGGGAGUGCAAGUCAGAUGUGAAAUCCCGCGGCUCAACCGCGGAACUGCAUUUGAAACUGUGCUUCUUGAGUGCUGGAGAGGCAGACGGAAUCCCUAGUGUAGCGGUGAAAUGCGUAGAUAUUAGGAGGAACACCAGUGGCGAAGGCGGUCUGCUGGACAGUAACUGACGGUGAGGCGCGAAAGCGUGGGGAGCAAACAGG
rnacentral:rRNA from 1 species